UUAGUUUUAGGAACUAAGUCAUAAUUUGGCCUGUCCUUGGCAACCAAAGUCUGUUGUCAAUUGCUUAAUCAAAGCAUUGUAUUUCCUUUUUUGUGUAAUCCUUCUUAUGGGUUUAUGGUAUGGGGUGGUUACAUACAUUUUCACUUGUUGAUACAUAUAAAUGCAUGUUCACUUAUGCUUUCUUUCUGAAAUUCUGUGAGAUUCGAUAUUUCAAAUGGCAUCUAAUGGUUAAACUGAAAUUUCAGGUAAGGAUUUGGCCACAAUUCAACGAUGGUGGGACUUUGGAUUACCACCCAGUGGUGAUGGUGAUGGCGAUGAUGAUGGUGGUGGUUGUGGUGGAGGUAACUGUUCAAGUGGAUUAAUUCUUUAAGGAUAAGGAAAGUGAGAUGCCUUAUAGUUACAAGAGGAGAAAAUGAAAGAAUGAUCGAUUUAUAUAUAUAUAUAUAUAUAACAAAUUAGAUAACUGGUACUAAUAACGUUCUUUGUACGGAUUGGGGAAUGUCCUCAAUUGUUUUUGUUCAGAUCUGGAAACCAGAUACAUCAUCCACAAGAGCCUCUACUACCAGAGACAUAAGACUCUCUUUUCAAGCUAUAGUAUCUAAGAACCUUAGCAUACAAUGUUGUCAAAUUUUGUUCCAUAUUUCUAAUGUGGAAUUUUCCAAUUUUCUUUUGUGGGAGAGAAGAAUCAUUAUAGGAGUCUGUUUCCUUCCUCGGAACUUUUAAUUUUCAGGUUGCAACUGACAAAAUAUGAAUGAAAAUGUGGAGAAAAAGCCUCCAAAGAUCAACCUAAAGCAGAUAAAAUAGAUGAUAAAGAGAGCAGAAUUUAGUUUGGUUGAUUUAAAGCAUUCUCACUUACUUGUGUCACAAAAUUCACAAGGGAGCUAAGGCAAAGUGUAAGGGGGGAAGAACUCUCUUUGCUUGCCGACAACACAUGUGAGGUCCUUCCGUUGUCAACACCAUCAGAAUUCUAGCCUGCCCCGUGGAGGUACCAAUGGUACCAACCUCUCUGCAUCAGUGACUCACUCCAAGCUCAGUUGCUCUCUAUUUCACAUGGGGAUUAAACCAAUGGCACAGUUGUUUUAUAUUCAUAAUUCUCCUAUUUUUUACUAUGAGAAUGUACUCACAUGUGAAUUUCUUUCAUCUUCUAAUCAAUUGAUAUUCUCAUCAA